UACGUAGGGGGCAAGCGUUGUCCGGAAUCAUUGGGCGUAAAGCGCGCGUAGGCGGCCAGAUAAGUCCGGUGUGAAAGUCACAGGCUCAACCUGUGAAUGCCGCUGGAGACUGCCUGGCUUGAGUCCGGAAGGGGCGAGUGGAAUUCCUGGUGUAGCGGUGAAAUGCGCAGAUAUCAAGAGGAACACCAAUGGCGAAGGCAGCUCGCUGGAACGGUACUGACGCUGAGGCGCGAAAGCGUGGGGAGCGAACAGG
rnacentral:rRNA from 1 species